CACGUAGGGGGCAAGCGUUGUCCGGAUUUAUUGGGCGUAAAGAGCUCGUAGGCGGUUCGGUAAGUCGGGUGUGAAAGCCCCGGGCUCAACCUGGGAAUUGCAUUCGAGACUGAAUAGCUAGGGUACGGUAGAGGGAAGUGGAAUUUCCGGUGUAGCGGUGAAAUGCGUAGAGAUCCGGAAGAACACCGGUGGCGAAGGCGGCCCGCUGGGCAGUGGCUGACGCUGAGGCGCGACAGCGUGGGGAGCAAACAGG
rnacentral:rRNA from 1 species